GACGAACGCUGGCGGCGUGCUUAACACAUGCGAGUCGAACGGAAAGACCCUGCUUUUGUGGGGUGCUCGAGUGGCGAACGGGUGAGUAACACGUGAGUAACCUGCCCUUGACUUUGGGAUAACUUCAGGAAACUGGGGCUAAUACCGGAUAGGAGCUCCUGCUGUAUGGUGGGGGUUGGAAAGUUUCGGCGGUUGGGGAUGGACUCGCGGCUUAUCAGCUUGUUGGUGGGGUAGUGGCUUACCAAGGCUUUGACGGGUAGCCGGCCUGGGAGGGGGACCGGCCACGUUGGGCCUGGGAUACGGCCCAGACUGCUACGGUAGGCAGCAGUGGGGAAUAUUGCACAAUGGGCGGAAGCCUGAUGCAGCAACGCCGCGUGCGGGAUGACGGCCUUCGGGUUGUAAACCGCUUUCGCCUGUGACGAAGCGUGAGUGACGGUAAUGGGUAAAGAAGCACCGGCUAACUACGUG
rnacentral:rRNA from 1 species